AGUGAACGUUGGCGGCGUGGAUUAGGCAUGCAAGUCGAGCGAGAACCGUAGCAAUACGGGGACAGCGGCGAAAGGGACAGUAAUGUGUAGGUACCUACCCCGAGGUCUGGGAUAGCUGCGGGAAACUGCAGGUAAUACCGGAUAAUGUCUUCGGACCAAAGGUGUGAUUCCACCUUGGGAGGGGCCUGCAUCCUAUUAGCUAGUUGGCGGGGUAAUGGCCCACCAAGGCAACGAUGGGUAGCGGGUGUGAGAGCACGACCCGCGUCAUUGGGACUGAGAUACUGCCCAGACACCUACGGGAGGCAG
rnacentral:rRNA from 1 species